rnacentral:rRNA from 1 species
UUAAGAUUCCUGCACCCCUUGUUAUCAGAACUGCGGAGACACGGGAAGGGAAGCAGAGCCGGGAAUGGAAAGCCCGGUGCAAGCGAAGUAGUCGCAGGGUUGGAAAACCCGCCCUGCAUGAGACGAAGGCGUGAUGCGGAGCGAAAUGAAGUAGUGAAGCUGCAGCCCCUUCCUGUCGAGAAAAGCCGCUAUCGUGUAGCAAGGGCCCGUACCGUAAACCGACACAGGUGGAUGAGGAGAGGAUCCUAAGGCCGGCGGGAGAAGUGUUGUUAAGGAACUCGGCAAAAUGACUCCGUAACUUCGGGAGAAGGAGUGCUGCGCAAGCAGCCGCAGAGAAAUGGCCCAAGCAACUGUUUAGCAAAAACACAGGUCUAUGCGAAACCGAAAGGUGAGGUAUAUGGGCUGACGCCUGCCCGGUGCUGGAAGGUUAAGGGGAGAGCUUAGCGCGAGCGAAGGUUUGAACUUAAGCCUCAGUAAACGGCGGCCGUAACAAUAACGGUCCUAAGGUAGCGAAAUUCCUUGUCGGGUAAGUUCCGACCCGCACGAAAGGCGUAAUGAUUUGGGCACUGUCUCAACAACACACCCGGUGAAAUUGAAAUACCAGUGAAGAUGCUGGUUACCCGCGCCAGGACGGAAAGACCCCAUGGAGCUUUACUCCAGCCUGAUACUGGGAUUCGGUAUUGCAUGUACAGGAUAGGUGGGAGGCUAAGAACUCAUGGCGCCAGCCGUGAGGGAGCCGGUGUUGGGAUACCACCCCUGCAGUACUGGGUUUCUAACCUGCGCCCGUGACCCGGGCGGGGGACAAUGUCAGGCGGGGAGUUUGACUGGGGCGGUCGCCUCCGAAAGGGUAUCGGAGGCGCUCAAAGGUCUCCUCAGGAUGGUUGGAAACCAUCCAGAGAGUGCAAAGGCAGAAGGAGGCUUGACUGCGACACCGACGGGUGGAGCAGGUACGAAAGUAGGACUUAGUGAUCCGGUGGCAUAAAGUGGGAUUGCCAUCGCUCAACGGAUAAAAGCUACCCUGGGAUAACAGGCUUAUCACUCCCAAGAGUUCACAUCGACGGAGUGGUUUGGCACCUCGAUGUCGGCUCAUCGCAUCCUGGAGCUGGAGCAGGUUCCAAGGGUUGGGCUGUUCGCCCAUUAAAGCGGUACGCGAGCUGGGUUCAGAACGUCGUGAGACAGUUCGGUCCCUAUCCGGCGCGGGCGCAGGAUAUCUGAGAGGAGCUGUCCUUAGUACGAGAGGACCGGGAUGGACCGUCCGCUGGUGGACCGGUUGUCAUGCCAAUGGCACGGCCGGGUAGCCAAGACGGGAAGGGAUAAACGCUGAAGGCAUCUAAGCGUGAAGCCCCCCUCAAGAUGAGAUAUCCAUACUCGAAAGAGUGAGAGACCCCUUAGAGACGAUGAGGUAGAUAGGGCAGAGAUGGAAGUGCAGCGAUGCAUGGAGUUGACUGUUACUAAUCGGUCGAAAGCC